rnacentral:rRNA from 1 species
CAGAUGUGAAAGACCCGGGGCGUCAACCUCGGAAUAGCAUUUGAAACUGGCAGACUAGAGUACUGUAGAGGGGGGUAGGAAUUUCAGGUGUAGCGGUGAAAUGCGUAGAGAUCUGAAGGAAUACCGGUGGCGAAGGACGGCCCCCUCGGACAGAUACUGACACUCAGAUGCGAAAGCGUGGGGAGCAAACAGGAUUAGAUACCCUGGUAG